CGGCCAAUUUAUGGCCUUAGACUGGGGCUUAAUUAUGCAAAUACGUUGUUUACAGGGAAUUUUGAAAGAUAGACUUGAUUGAAAACGAUUUGUACAGAAAAACAGAACCUUUCUACGAUCAACAUGUAUCGAAAUCGGGAUCAACAUGGUUUCAAUAUCGAUAAAACCAAGAAACAUGUAUAGGGUAUAGAUAAUGUUGCGCGUUUCCAAACAAAUUAAAUGUUGCCAACGGGAAAAAAGUCUGGAUUGAGACUCAUUGCUGCUACCGAUUUAUACCGAUUCAAAGAGAGCGAAUAAGAGAGCCUUAACCUAUUAGAAGAGAUCGAAGAGAGCCAAAAACUGAUUCGAAAGUUCGGCGCGCAAAAUUGGAAUUGCUUGAAAGUGAAUAAGACAAGGAUGUGAAUGAAAAUGUUUUAAGUGAAAAGUACCAUUAUAUACCGAUAUACCUUAAAUAUAUAUAUAAGUAUACCCUGACGACAAAGGAAGAGAAAAAUGC